rnacentral:rRNA from 1 species
AGAGUUUGAUCCUGGCUCAGGAUGAACGCUGGCGGCGUGCUUAACACAUGCAAGUCGAACGAACCUUCGGGUUAGUGGCGGACGGGUGAGUAACGCGUGAGAAUCUGCCCUCAGGAGGGGGAUAACGGCUGGAAACGGCCGCUAAUACCCCAUAUGCCGAGAGGUGAAAUGAGUUUUCGCCUGAGGAUGAGCUCGCGUCUGAUUAGCUAGUUGGUGGGGUAAGAGCCUACCAAGGCAUCGAUCAGUAGCUGGUCUGAGAGGAUGAUCAGCCACACUGGGACUGAGACACGGCCCAGACUCCUACGGGAGGCAGCAGUGGGGAAUUUUCCGCAAUGGGCGAAAGCCUGACGGAGCAACGCCGCGUGAGGGAUGAAGGCCUCUGGGCUGUAAACCUCUUUUAUCAAGGAAGAAGAUCUGACGGUACUUGAUGAAUAAGCCACGGCUAAUUCCGUGCCAGCAGCCGCGGUAAUACGGGAGUGGCAAGCGUUAUCCGGAAUUAUUGGGCGUAAAGCGUCCGCAGGCGGCCUUUUAAGUCUGUUGUCAAAGCGUGGAGCUUAACUCCAUUUCGGCAAUGGAAACUGGGAGGCUUGAGUGUGGUAGGGGCAGAGGGAAUUCCCGGUGUAGCGGUGAAAUGCGUAGAUAUCGGGAAGAACACCAGUGGCGAAGGCGCUCUGCCGGGCCAUAACUGACGCUCAUGGACGAAAGCCAGGGGAGCGAAAGGGAUUAGAUACCCCUGUAGUCCUGGCCGUAAACGAUGAACACUAGGUGUCGGGGGAAUCGACCCCCUCGGUGUCGUAGCCAACGCGUUAAGUGUUCCGCCUGGGGAGUACGCACGCAAGUGUGAAACUCAAAGGAAUUGACGGGGGCCCGCACAAGCGGUGGAGUAUGUGGUUUAAUUCGAUGCAACGCGAAGAACCCUACCAGGGUUUGACAUCCUGCGAAUCCCUUGGAAACUUGGGAGUGCCUUCGGGAGCGCAGAGACAGGUGGUGCAUGGCUGUCGUCAGCUCGUGUCGUGAGAUGUUGGGUUAAGUCCCGCAACGAGCGCAACCCACGUCUUUAGUUGCCAGCAUUCAGUUGGGCACUCUAGAGAGACCGCCGGUGAUAAACCGGAGGAAGGUGUGGAUGACGUCAAGUCAUCAUGCCCCUUACAUCCUGGGCUACACACGUACUACAAUGCUACGGACAAAGGGCAGCAAACUCGCGAGAGCUAGCAAAUCCCAUAAACCGUGGCUCAGUUCAGAUCGUAGGCUGCAACUCGCCUACGUGAAGGAGGAAUCGCUAGUAAUCGCAGGUCAGCAUACUGCGGUGAAUACGUUCCCGGGCCUUGUACACACCGCCCGUCACACCAUGGAAGUUGGCCACGCCCGAAGCCGUUACUCCAACCCUUGUGGAGGAGGACGUCGAAGGUGGGGCUGAUGACUGGGGUGAAGUCGUAACAAG